rnacentral:rRNA from 1 species
UCGCUCGACUUUUAUUUAGAUUCGUUUUUUUUUGGUGGUAUUAAUGUCGUCAUGUCUUUUUCCUAUGCAUCAAAGUAUAAUAAACAAGGUGGGGGUUUAACCUUUCGGAAAAACCUCUAAAGAUCCUUCCGUUAGGUGAACUGCGGAAGGAUCAUUAC